UCUCCGUUGGUGAACCAGCGGAGGGAUCAUUACCGAGUUUACAACUCCCAAACCCCAAUGUGAACGUUACCAAACUGUUGCCUCGGCGGGAUUUCUGCCCCGGGCGCGUCGCAGCCCCGGACCAAGGCGCCCGCCGGAGGACCAACCCAAAACGCUUUUGUAUACCCCCUCGCGGGUUUUUAUAUCCGGGCCUUCUCGGCGCCCCUAGUGGGCGUUUCGAAAGUGAAUCAAAACUUUCAACAGCGGAUCUCUUGGUUCUG
rnacentral:misc_RNA from 1 species